rnacentral:rRNA from 1 species
UACGUAGGGGGCAAGCGUUGUCCGGAAUCAUUGGGCGUAAAGAGCGUGUAGGCGGUCCGGUAAGUCGGCUGUGAAAGUCCAGGGCUCAACCCCGGGAGGCGGAUGGAUACUGCAAGGCUCGAGUACGGAAGAGGCGAGUGGAAUUCCCGGUGUAGCGGUGAAAUGCGCAGAUAUCGGGAGGAACACCAAUGGCGAAGGCAGCUCGCUGGGACGUUACUGACGCUGAGACGCGAAAGCGUGGGGAGCAAACAGG